rnacentral:rRNA from 1 species
UAUAGAAGUCUGUCUGAAUUAGUUAUAUAGUCUAGCCUGCGCACUGAUUUAAUUAUAGGGCCGCGGUAAUUUGACCGUGCGUAGGUUGCAUAGUCAGUAGUCUUUUAAUUGGAGGCUUGAAUGAAUGGUUGGACGAGCGAUAAACUGUCUCGUUAGCGGCGUUUCAAUUUAACUAUUGAGUGAAAAGGCUCAAAUUGUUUAGCCGGACGAUAAGAGCCUAUAAAACUUAAUAUAAUUUACGCUUAACUUGCGAUGUCGGUGUAAAGUAGUAUUGUCUGGUUUAUAUUACGUUGGGGAGAUGUAGAUAUUAUGAGUAACUGUCAAUAUAAUUAUAUAGCAUUGACUAGAAUUUGAUCCUUCCUUGGGGAUUAGGAGAAUAAGUUACUAUAGGGAUUAGAGCGUGUAUUUCUUUGAGACUUCUUAUCGACAAGAGUAGUUGCGAGCUCGAUGUUGAAUUAAAAUUUCAGCUAGGUCUAGCGGUAUACG